AGAUUGAACGCUGGCGGCAGGCCUAACACAUGCAAGUCGAGCGGCAGCACGGGUACUUGUAUCUGGUGGCGAGCGGCGGACGGGUGAGUAAUGCCUAGGAAUCUGCCUGGUAGUGGGGGAUAACGCUCGGAAACGGACGCUAAUACCGCAUACGUCCUACGGGAGAAAGCAGGGGACCUUCGGGCCUUGCGCUAUCAGAUGAGCCUAGGUCGGAUUAGCUAGUUGGGUGGGUAAUGGCUCACCAAGGCGACGAUCCGUAACUGGUCUGAGAGGAUGAUCAGUCACACUGGAACUGAGACACGGUCCAGACUCCGUACGGGAGCAGCAGUGGGGAAUAGUUGGACAAGUGGGACGAAAGCCUGAUCCAGCCAUGCCGCGUGUGUAGAAGAAGGUCUUACGGUAUUAGUAAAGCUAACGUUUAAGGUUGGGAGGAAGGCAAGUUAACCUAAUACGUAUUCUUGUUUUGGCGUUACCGACAAGAAAUAAGACACCGGUACUUAACGUUGUCGCCAGCA
rnacentral:rRNA from 1 species